rnacentral:rRNA from 1 species
UACAGAGGGUGCGAGCGUUAAUCGGAAUUACUGGGCGUAAAGGGGGCGUAGGCGGUUUGAUAAGUUAGGUGUGAAAGCCCUGGGCUUAACCUGGGAAUGGCGCCUAAUACUGUUGAGCUAGAGUACUGUAGAGGAAGGUGGAAUUUCCGGUGUAGCGGUGAAAUGCGUAGAUAUCGGAAGGAACAUCAGUGGCGAAGGCGACUUUCUGGACAGAUACUGACACUGAGGCACGAAAGCACGGGGAGCAAACAGG